rnacentral:tRNA from 1 species
GGGCGAUCGGCGCAGCGGGAGCGCGCUCCCCUGACACGGAAGAGGUCACUGGUUCGAUCCCAGUACCGCCCACCA